rnacentral:rRNA from 1 species
UGGGGAAUAUUGCACAAUGGGCGCAAGCCUGAUGCAGCCAUGCCGCGUGUAUGAAGAAGGCCUUCGGGUUGUAAAGUACUUUCAGCGGGGAGGAAGGUGUUGAGGUUAAUAACCUCAGCAAUUGACGUUACCCGCAGAAGAAGCACCGGCUAACUCCGUGCCAGCAGCCGCGGUAAUACGGAGGGUGCAAGCGUUAAUCGGAAUUACUGGGCGUAAAGCGCACGCAGGCGGUCUGUCAAGUCGGAUGUGAAAUCCCCGGGCUCAACCUCGGAACUGCAUUCGAAACUGGCAGGCUAGAGUCUUGUAGAGGGGGGUAGAAUUCCAGGUGUAGCGGUGAAAUGCGUAGAGAUCUGGAGGAAUACCGGUGGCGAAGGCGGCCCCCUGGACAAAGACUGACGCUCAGGUGCGAAAGCGUGGGGAGCAAACA